GACGAACGCUGGCGGCGUGCUUAACACAUGCAAGUCGAACGGUGAACCUCUUCGGAGGGGAUCAGUGGCGAACGGGUGAGUAACACGUGGGCAACCUGCCCCCGGCUCUGGGAUAACUCCAAGAAAUUGGGGCUAAUACCGGAUGUUCACCGCUUCCCGCAUGGGUGGUGGUGGAAAGGGUUUCCGGCUGGGGAUGGGCCCGCGGCCUAUCAGCUCGUUGGUGGGGUAGUGGCCUACCAAGGCGACGACGGGUAGCCGGCCUGAGAGGGUGACCGGCCACACGGGACCUGAGACACGGCCCAGACUCCUACGGGGGGCAGCGGUGGGGAAUAUUGCGCAAGGGGCGGAAGCCUAACGCAGCGACGCCGCGUGGGGGAUGACGGCCUUCGGGUGGAAACCCUCUUUCAGCAGGGACGAAGCGCAAGUGACGGUACCUGCAGAAGAAGCACCGGCCAACUACGU
rnacentral:rRNA from 1 species